rnacentral:lncRNA from 1 species
AAUCGUUAACAAACCAUAAAAAUCCUAAACACCUUAAAACCCUAAACCUAAAAAUUCCUCUAAACCUAAUAAAACCCUAGAAAACCUUAAGCCCAAAACCCUAUAUCCUAAAAACCCUUAAAAAAACCAAACCCUAAGAAAUCCUAAAUGCUAAAUAAUAUACCCUAAGAAACUCUUAAUCCUUAUCUCUAAAUCAUAGGGCUAUACCUUAAACCCCAAACCAUAUGGAAUCCUAAAAUAUCCUACACCCUAAAAUCCAUUUAAACACCUACAACUAUAAUCCCUUUAAAACCAUAAGUCCUAGAAAAAACCCUAAAUAUAUUAGGGUUACGUAAUCCUAAAUCUUAAGAAAUCCAAAUUCUUAAAAAACCAUAAGAAACCCUAAAACAUUUAAAAACGUUAAGCAUAAAAAUCAUAAACCUAAAAAAAACCAUAAACUCUAAAAAACACUUAACCUAAAAUCCGAAUAGCUAAAACCUAAACUAAGAAACCCUAAGAAACUCUAAACCUUAAACCCUUAUAAACCCCAAUAACCUAAAACCUAAGAUCCUAAACCCUAAACCCUAAAAAAAUCACUAAGAAAUCCUAAACCUUAAAAAUCACUAAGAAAAACUAAACCCUAAAAAACCUAAAAAAAAAACUUUUAAACCCCUAAACCUAAAGAACCCUAAAUCCAAAAGUCUAAACCUUAAACCCUAAAUCCUUAAAAAUCAUAAGCCGAAAACCCUAACCAUAAGAAAACCCUAAACCCAAAAAAGCACUAAGGAACCCAAAACCCUAGAAAAGAAUAAAUUUGUUUUUAUAAACUCUAACCCUAGAAAACCUCUAAAAAAUCUAAAACCUAACAAACCUAAACCCUAUUUUAGAAAACACUAAAUUUAAAAUCAUAAGCCCUUAACCCAAAGAAACCAUAAGCCUUAAGAACCCUAAAUCGUAAGAAAUCAUAACAAUCUUGAAAACCCCCUUUUUAAAAAUCCUAAACCCUAAGAAACACUAAACCCUAAACCUUAGGGAGACCCCUAAACCUCAAGACUUGUGAAACACCAACAAACCCUAAAGCCUAAGAAAUCCUAAAGCCUAAAAACACCUUUAAAAAUACUAAACCUAAAAACACCCUCAAAACCCGUAACCCCUAAAAACCCUAAAUUUAAAGUCCUAAGCCCUUAACCCAAAGAAACCUUGAGACUUAAGAACACCUAAAUCUAACCCGUAACCCCUAACACCACAAAUUUAAAAUCCUAAGCCCUUAACCCAAAGAAACCCUAAGCCUUAAGAACCCCUAAACCGUAGGAAAUCAUAACAAUCUUGAAAACCCCUUUUAAAAUCCUAAACCCUAAGAAACACUAAACCAUAAACCUUAGGGAAACCCCUAAACCUCAAGACUUGUGAAACACCAACAAACCCUAAAGCCUAAGAAAUCCUAAAGCCUAAAAACACCCUUAAAACCCGUAACACCUAAAAACCCUAAAUUUAAAAUCCUAAGCUCUUAACCCAAAGAAAUUCUAAGCCCUAAGAACCCGUAACCCCUAAAAACCCAGCAUCUCUAGGUAGUUAGAGGAUUUUAUUCAUAGAUUGUUUUUGUCACUCCCCGAGGUUACCUGCUUGAAGUAACACGAGACCUAGAAUCACGAGUGACCCAAGCUAACCUUAAGUUGGCAUAUCAUAAGCAUAUUAGAUCAAAACCUUUAAAAGCCUAAUCUAAGAAAUCUAAAACCCCUAAGAAACCCUAAACCCUAAGAAACACUAAACCCUAAACCUUAGGGAAACCCCAAGACUUAUGAAACACCAACAAACCCUAAAGCCUAAGAAAAUCCUAAAGCCUAUAAACACCUUUAAAAAUACUAAACCUAAAAACACCCUUAAAACCCGUAACCCCUGUCACGAGUGACCCCAAGCUAACCUUGAGCUGGCAUAUCAUAAGCAUAUUAGAUCAACACCUUUAAAAGCCUAAAAUCUAAGAAAUCUAAAACCCCUAAGAAACCCUAAACCCUAAGAAACACUAAACCCUAAACCUUAGGGAAAACCUUAAACCUCAAGACUUGUGAAACACCAACAAACCCUUAAAUCCUAAGAAAUCCUAAAGCCUAAAAACACCUUUAAAAAUACUAAACAUAAAAACAACCUUAAAACCCGUAACCCCUAAAAACCUUAAAUUUAAAUCCUAAGCCCUUAACCCAAAUAAAUUCUAAUCCCUAAGAACCCCUAAACCGUUGUAAAUCAUAACAAUCUUGAAAGCCCUUUAAAAAUCUUAAACCUAAAAAAAACUCUAAACCUAAAAAAUUCAACAAAAACUUAAGCCCUAAACCUUAAAACCCUAAACUCUUAAAAACCGUAAACCCAAAAAAUCCUAUAAAAGCCAUACGAUCUAAGAACCCCUUAAUCGUUAACAAACCAUAAAAAUCCUAAACACCUUAAAACCCUAAACCUAAAAAUUCCUCUAAACCUAAUAAAACCCUAGAAAAUCUUAAUCCCAAAACCCUAAAAUCCUAAAAACCCUUAAAAAAAACCAAACCCUAAGAAAUCCUAAACCCUAAAUAAUAUACCCUAAGAAACUCUAAAUCCUUAACUCUAAAUCAUAGGGCUAAACCUUAAACCCCAAACCAUAUGGAAUCCAAAGAAAUCCUACACCCUAAAUCCAUUGAAACCCCUAAAACUAUAAUACCCGAGGAAAAAAAAUCCAUUUAAAACCAUAAGCCCAAGAAAAAACCCUAAAUAUAUUAGGCUUACGUAAUCCUAAAUCUUAAGAAAUCCAAAUUCUUAAAAAAACCUAAGAAAUCCUAAAACAUUUAAAAACCUUAAUCAUAAAAAUCAUAAACCUAGAAAAAACCAUAAACUCUAAAAAAACACUUAAACUAAAAUCCGAAUAGCUAAAACCUAAACAAAGAAACCCUAAGAAACUCUAAGCCUUAAACUCUUAUAAACCUUAAUACCCUAAAACUUAAGAUCCUAAACCCUAAACCCUAAAAAAAUCACUAAGAAAUCCAAAACCCUAAAAAUCACUAAGAAAAACUAAACCAUAAAAACCUAAAAAAAAAACUUUAAAACCCCUAAAUCUAAAGAACCCUAAAUCCCAAACUCUAAACCUUGAACCCUAAACCCUUAAAAAUCAUAAGCCAAAAGCCGAAAACCCAAAACCCUAAACCCAAAAAAGCACUAAGGAACCCAAAACCCUAGAAAAGAAUAAAUUUAUUUUUAUAAACUCUAACCCUUGAAAACCUCUAAAAAAUCUUAAACCUAACAAACCUAAACCCUAUUCUAGAAAAACCCUAAAUUUAAAAUCAUAAGCCUAAGACCCAAAGAAACCCUAAGCCUUAAGAACCCCUAAAUCGUAAGAAAUCAUAACAAUCUUGAAAAUCCCUUUUUAAAAUCCUAAACCCUAAGAAACACUAAACCCUAAACCUUAGGGAGACCCCUAAACCUCAAGACUUGUGAAACACCAACAAACCCUAAAGCCUAAGAAAUCCUAAAGCCUAAAAACACCUUUAAAAAUACUAAACCUAAAAACACCCUUUAAACCCGUAACCCCUAAAAAUCCUAAAUUUAAAAUCCUAAUCCCUUAACCCAAAGAAAUUCUAAGCCCUAAGAACCCCUAAACCGUAGUAAAUCAUAACAAUCUUGAAAACCCCUUUUAAAAUCUUAAACCUAAAAAAACUCUAAACCUAAGAAAUUCAACAAAAACUUAAGCCAUAAACCUUAAAAACCCUUAAAUAAAAACCUAGACCUUAUACCCAAAGAAACCCUAAACCUUAAGAAACCCUAAGCUUUAAGAAAUAAAAAAAAAGCCCUAAAACACUUUUAAAAACCGUAAACCCUAAAAACCCUAUAAAAUCCGUACGAUCUAAGAACCCCUUAAUCGUUAACAAACCAUAAAAAUCCUAAACACCUUAAAACCCUAAAAAAUCUUCUAAACCUAAUAAAACCCUAGAAAAUCUUAAGUCCAAAACCCUAAAUCCUAAAAACCCUUAAAAAAACCAAACCCUAAGAAAUCCUAAACGCUAAAUAAUAUACCCUAAGAAACUCUAAAUCCUUAACUCUAAAUCAUAGGGCUAAACCUUAAACCCCAAACCAUAUGGAAUCCUAAGAAAUCCUACACCCUAAAAUCCAUUUAAACACCUAAAACUAUAAUACUCGAG